UCAUUAAAAAUCGUACCGAUUUUCUGUCAUUAUCGUACCGGUUGCUGAUUGGGUGAAAAUGACAAUCGAUUACUUCGAUCGGCGGUGGCACAUUUUCAGAAGGGUAGUUUAUUGUUAACUUGGCCGUGUUGCUGGGGCAUAAAAUUGAUGUUCAUAAAAAAUAUGCAAAAGUUUUUUUUAUUGAUUUUUUGUGUAAAAUAAAUUUAUGCUGGACUGCAAAUGAUAUCUACAUGAUUCUCAAAGUUAUGCUAAUUUAAGGCACUUGAUGUAAACCAUCAUUGAACACAUUUUAACUAUUUUCACUCUGAAACUCAUCUAAUUCCACGUAAAAACUUAUUUAUGUUAGUACGUAACAUCUUUUAGGAUGAAUUAUGGACGAAAUGAACGAGAAAACAUCAAAUUUGAUAACAAAUUAUUUGGCGGAUUUUGCAUAAAAAUGAUUUGGAAGCACUGGCCACCACCUCGUCGAAGCAAUCGACUGAGGAAACAACAAGGCAGUCAAAAUUGAGUUGUCACAUCCUAUCCUAGUGAUAAAGUAGCAGCUUUUGUUGGAGGAAAGAACAAGAAUAAAUAGUCAACACGCGAGUUUACUGUUAGAUUAUUAUUAUUUAUUCAGACUAAGGCCGAAGUGGCCUGUGCGGUAUAUUAGAGUCUUCUCCAUUCGGCCCGGUCCAUGGCACUGUCCGACAUUUUGGCUACAUUCAUUUUCGAUAGUCACCAGUGAGCCCAAGUACACUAAUUCUUCUACCACCUCGAUUUCGUCACCACCGAUGCAAACUCGAGGUGGGUGGCUCACAUUGUCUUCUCUUGAACCUCUUCCUAUCAUGCACUGAGAAACCAAACUAUCCAAAAUCAAGUUUAAAAGUACUCAAAAUCAAGAAUUUCGCGAACACUUCCCUUUUGGAUAUUUUUAUGUUUACAUUGAUGGGUAAUUAUAACCUCGUUUGAAGGUUAUUUCUAACAACUCCCUUCUGAGUAGUUUCGAAUCUAUGAAAAUACCCAAGCCAGAGUGUUGACCUUUUACUUCAUUUUGGCUGAAAAAAUACUUGAGUUUUAAAAGCAUUUUUGAGUGAUUCCGGAAUUAGUUUAUUUUUAAAGAAAAAAGGUGGGAAAACCUCGGAAAAUCUAACCGAUUUUACGGUAAACCUUCAUCACAACGAAUUUGGGUGAGAACAUCCGAGAAGGAACUUUCCGUGAAAUCUACCGACAACGAUUCUCGCUAAAGCUGAAUUAUUCCGGAUCAUCGGAUUUUUGGUAAUUAAUACAAGAUCCAGCCAUCUUCCAGUUCGGACCCUGUGGGGUUGUCGUCCAUACAUGAUCAAAAGAAUGUCGUCCCAACCAUGCCACCAGCAACGGACAUCAUCUAUUCAACAGCAACAGCAGCGAGCGGGACUGCAAUAUGAUACGUCGGUGUCGGUUGUGCGUAAAGUUUUAUUAAUAUAAUAGAAUGCCACCGCAAGCAAUUGUCCCAUAUUGAUAUGAAUUUUAUAUCAAUAUGGGACAAUUAUUAUACUUGCAACGGCAGUAAAGUAGGAUUAAAA